UUUGAUCCUGCUCAGAUGAACGCUGGCGGCGUGCUUAACACAUGCAAGUCGAACGGUGAAGCCCAGCUUGCUGGGUGGAUCAGUGGCGAACGGGUGAGUAACACGUGAGCAACCUGCCCCUGACUCUGGGAUAAGCGCUGGAAACGGCGUCUAAUACUGGAUACGAGUAGCGACCGCAUGGUCAGCUACUGGAAAGAUUUAUUGGUUGGGGAUGGGCUCGCGGCCUAUCAGCUUGUUGGUGAGGUAAUGGCUCACCAAGGCGUCGACGGGUAGCCGGCCUGAGAGGGUGACCGGCCACACUGGGACUGAGACACGGCCCAGACUCUACGGGAGGCAGCAGUGGGGAAUAUUGCACAAUGGGCGCAAGCCUGAUGCAGCAACGCCGCGUGAGGGAUGACGGCCUUCGGGUUGUAAACCUCUUUUAGCAGGGAAGAAGCGAAAGUGACGGUACCUGCAGAAAAAGCGCCGGCUAACUACGUGCCAGCAGCCGCGGUAAUACGUAGGGCGCAAGCGUUAUCCGGAAUUAUUGGGCGUAAAGAGCUCGUAGGCGGUUUGUCGCGUCUGCUGUGAAAUCCGGAGGCUCAACCUCCGGCCUGCAGUGGGUACGGGCAGACUAGAGUGCGGUAGGGGAGAUUGGAAUUCCUGGUGUAGCGGUGGAAUGCGCAGAUAUCAGGAGGAACACCGAUGGCGAAGGCAGAUCUCUGGGCCGUAACUGACGCUGAGGAGCGAAAGGGUGGGGAGCAAACAGGCUUAGAUACCCUGGUAGUCCACCCCGUAAACGUUGGGAACUAGUUGUGGGGU
rnacentral:rRNA from 1 species